rnacentral:rRNA from 1 species
CCCUUAGAUGUUCUGGGCCGCACGCGCGCUACACUGAUUCAUGCAACAAGUUUUGUCCUUGGCUGAUAGGCCUGGGUAAUCUUUGAACGUGAAUCGUGAUGGGGAUAGAUGAUUGCAAUUAUUCAUCUUCAACGAGGAAUUCCUAGUAAACGCAAGUCAUCAGCUUGCAUUGAUUACGUCCCUGCCCUUUGUACACACCGCCCGUCGCACCUACCGAUUGAAUGGUCCGGUGAAAUCUUCGGAUCUGAGAGAUGUCUGAUUAAUUUUGGACGCCUUUUGGAAAAGUUGCUUAAACCUUACCAUUUAGAGGAAGGUGAAGUCGUAACA